rnacentral:lncRNA from 1 species
UUAGAGGAAGAAAAAUAGAAGGAUAAGAGGAAGAAAAAAAUAAUUAUAUUUGUAAUAUUUCAAUACAUGUCAAUAUAUACUCCUUAAAAAAAAGAAUAAAAAGAGGAAAGGGAAGAGAAAACAAUUGCUAUAGAAUUGUUCAAGUGAAUGAAAUAUUUUGUAAAUUAAAUUCCCGCAGUUUCUUUCAAGUCUCUUUUAUCUCUUUCAAUUUUAGCCU